CUCCCCUAUGAGAUCGUGAUAUGGGAGAUCCUCGUCCGCCUGCCCCCCAAAUCCCUCCUCCGCUGCCGCGCCGUCUGCCGUGCGUGGCGCCGCACCACCUCCACACGGGAUUUCCUCCUCGCCCACCACGCCCACCAGCCCACCCUUCCCGUCGCCUCCGGCUACGGUUACUGCGGCCCCUCCGUCAACCGAGACAUCAUCACCUUCGACCACCGGGCCGCCGAUGCCCAGCUCCAGCACGUCACCAAGUUUGACGUCGGGAGGUUCUGUGUUCUCCAGGCCUCCUGCAACGGCCUCCUCCUCCUCUCGUGUAACACGUUCGCUGCCUCCUGCUUCUACAUCUGCAACCCGGCCACUCGUCAGUACACUCGCCUUCUGAUGCUUUGUCACUUCAAGGUUUUGGGAAUGUACCGGCACCGCCCUACUGCCGAGUACCAGAUAUUGUUGUAUCAUAAAGAUGAGAACAUCGGGCUCCAUCCCGUCGGCGAGGAACAUGAUCGCUACUACAUCAUUGCAUUGGGCUCCGUGGAGCCGCCGAGGAACAUUAGGUGUGCGCUCGGGGCCGAGCAAGUGUAUUUACGUGGUGGGGAAGCUCUCAUGUUUCGUGGCAACCUGCAUUGGCACCUACGGCAACGUGAGACCGAAAGCAAUAAGAUAGUGGUAUUUGACUCCACAACUGAGUCGUUCAAGCAAAUGCAUGCUCCAGUGGUUUUUCGGCACGCCACGCUAUUUGAGAUGGAUGGCAUGCUCGGCAUGUUCAGUUGUAAUGAUGUUGGUACCACCAUCAAUAUCUGGGAAUUGCAAGACUAUGAAAACCAGGUCUGGACCUUCAAGUGCAAAAUUGAAUUACCAAUCAAUGAGAUUAGUGUGCUAUGUGGAAAACAUGACAAUUAUUGGUUUGCGGUGAUCGUGCCUGGGGAUGGUGACUUGCUUGUCCUAGUCCAAUUCGCUGAGUGGCUACUUCAGGUUGACGCGGAUGGCAAGUUGGUCACCAGUUUUCAUCAACCAGAACUCUUUCCUACUCAAUUGCAGCUGAAACAAACUCUUGUCCCACAUACUUUCUUU
rnacentral:rRNA from 1 species